UUAAUAUUUGAUUCUGGUUUAAUUCUUUAUUUUAUAGUUAAAAUCACAUGGAAAUUAUUUAUUAAUGGGUAAUUAAAAUUAAUUUUAUAUUAAUAUUUAAAAUAAAUAUAAUUUAUAUCAUAAUUAUUUAUAGGCCCAGUGGAAAGACUUAAAUUAUGUAUGCAAGUAUGAGUUAGUAAACAAUAAUUAAGCCCGAUGAAUAUUUGUGCCAGCAUUCGCGGUUAUACUUUAGGGUUAAAUAGAGAGGUGUAAUAUUAAGUUAUUUGUAUGUAUUAUAGUGGUUUAUAUUUGUCGGUAGGUGAAAUUAUUAUGAUAAUUUGUAAAUUAAAGAUAUUUUAAGGAAGCUAAAAAGUUUUAAGGAUAAACUAGGAUUAGAUACCCUAUUAUAUUAAAAUUUAAUUGAAUAAUAUUGGAUUAUUAGUAAGUAUAAUUUGAAACUUAAAGAAUUUGGCGGUAAUUUAGUCUUGUCAGAGGAACCUGUUUAAAUAAUUGAUACACCACGUAAUAUCUUACUUAUUAUUAAUUAGUUUGUAUACCAUCAUUAUUAGAUAAUUUUUAGAGGGUAAAUUAUUAAAAUUAAUUAGUUAAAAAAAUUAGAUCAAGGUGCAGCUUAUAAAUAAGUUUAAAUGGGUUACAAUGGAAUUUAUCUAAACGAAAUGGGUUAGUAAGUUUGACUUAGGAAGGGGGAUUUGAUAGUAUUAGGGGUUUAAUAAGCCUGUGAGAUAGUAGCUCUAAAUUAUGUACAUAUCGCCCGUCGCUUUCAUUAUUUGGUGAGAUAAGUCGUAACAUAGUAGGGGUACUGGAAGGUGCCCCUAGAAGUAU
rnacentral:ncRNA from 1 species